GAAUUCCGGAUAAGAGACGUC
rnacentral:miRNA from 1 species